GGUCAAGUUACAAAGGGCUCACGGCGGAUACCUUGGCACACAGAGGCGAUGAAGGACGUGGUUACCUGCGAUAAGUCUCGGGGAGCUGGAAACACGCUUUGAUCCGGGAAUUUCCGAAUGAGGCAACCCUUAAUACGGCCAGCUGAAUCCAUAGGCUGGCACGAGCCGACCCGGCGAACUGAAACAUCUUAGUAGCCGGAGAA
rnacentral:rRNA from 1 species